rnacentral:misc_RNA from 1 species
GAAGUGCGAUAAGUAAUGUGACUUGCAGAAUACCGUGAAUCAUCGAAUCUUUGAACGCAUAUUGCACUCUCAGGUAUUCCGGAGAGUAUGCCUGUUUGAGGGUCAGCUAAAAAAAAUCAAGCGUUAUUGCUUUUUUGUGGUGACGUUUGGAAUUGAGUCGUCUUAACCUCACGGUCAAGUGACUUAAAAUUUUUUAAUGUGAUUUUCGAAACGUAUUUAAUAUUUUACGUACGUUUGCGAUAUCAAUCUAUUAGAUGUGAUCAUUUCCAUGAUUCGCGUCUAUAGUUUUUCAUUAAAUGACCUCAAAUCAGGUAAGAGUACCCGCUGAACUUAAGC